UAGGGAAUAUUGCUCAAUGGGCGAAAGCCUGAAGCAGCAACGCCGCGUGCGCGAUGAAGGUCUUCGGAUCGUAAAGCGCUUUUCUGCGAGAUGAGAAAGGACAGUAUCGUAGGAAUAAGUCUCGGCUAACUACGUGCCAGCAGCCGCGGUAACACGUAGGAGGCGAGCGUUACCCGGAUUCACUGGGCGUAAAGCGCGUGCAGGCGGUUUGGUAAGUUGGGCGUGAAAUCUCCCGGCUCAACUGGGAGAGGUCGUUCAAUACUACCGGACUAGAGAGCAGAAGAGGAAGAUGGAAUUCCCGGUGUAGUGGUGAAAUGCGUAGAUAUCGGGAGGAACACCAGUGGCGAAGGCGAUCUUCUGGUCUGUUUCUGACGCUCAGACGCGGCAGCUAGGGUAGUAAACGGGAUUAGAGACCCCGGUAAUCCUAGCCGUAAACGAUGUGAACUUGGCGUCGGUGGCUUAAACACCAUCGGUGCCGCAGCAAACGCGAUAAGUUCACCGCCUGGGGACUACGGCCGCAAGGUUA
rnacentral:rRNA from 1 species